rnacentral:rRNA from 1 species
CCUGACGGCAAUAGCAUUAGGGAACCACCUGAAUCCAUUUCGAACUCAGAAGUGAAACCUAAUAGCGGCGAUGGUAGUGUGGGAGUUCCCAUGUGAGAGUAGCACACUGUCAGGCU